rnacentral:rRNA from 1 species
UACGAGGGGGGCGAGCGUUGUUCGGAAUUAUUGGGCGUAAAGGGUGCGUAGGCGGUUUGGUAAGUCUUAUGUGAAAUCUACAGGCUCAACUUGUAGUCUGCAUGAGAAACUGCCGGGCUUGAGUAUGGGAGAGGUGAGUGGAAUUCCUGGUGUAGCGGUGAAAUGCGUAGAUAUUGGGAAGAACACCAGUGGCGUAGGCGACUAACUGGGCCAUAACUGACGCUGAGGAACGAAAGCCAGGGGAGCGAAUGGG